rnacentral:lncRNA from 1 species
UUGUUUUUCCUUUUUUGUCGAUGCUUGGGUUUAUGGUACUACAGUAAUUUUCCACUCUCCUUAUUCUCUUCUAUUUCUUUUUCAUAUGGUAAACAUAAAUUUGGGUUUCUCUUGAUUUUUGUUGAUUUUCAAGAUUUUAAAUAUUUUUGCCUUUUUUUUUUUUUACUGGUCAAAGGCCUCUUUGAAUCCGGCCAUUGGCCACUAUUUCCUUGAAAAAGUGGUCGUGUAGGGCAGCCAUUAGCUACCAUUUCCUCCACUAUUUCCUCCGACAAAUUUUGGGUUAAUGGGUCGGGUAGGAAAAUUCAAAAUUAACACUUCUAUUAAUUUGUGUAUACAACAUCGAUUUUACUAGUGGUAUAUCGGGAUGUAUCUAAUAGUGUACACCCCACUUAUAUGGACGAGAGAUCUACUCAAAUAAAAUAUCAUUUUUUUCACAUGAAUCUCACAAGUAAAAUGUACACCAUUCGAUACACCCCAUUAUGUGCCACUAGAUAAAUUCAUACAAAAAUAUUGUCCAAGGCUAAAAAAAUGAUUCAUCAGCCAAUUACCCACAUUUGCAUCAGUAAGCAUAAAAGCUGACUCCCAGCCAAACAAUACAAUAAUAUAUGAUAACGCCGGUUUAUAAGCAAUCCUAUUCUCAUGAAAAGGUAGCGGGAUCUAGAAGAGGAACCAACUCAUAAGCCAUAAGUUUUACAAAAUGAACAAAUAACACAAACAUACCUCCAAAAAUCCGAUUUUCCAAAUAAAAAUAAAUAAUUAAACUGAAAUAGAAUGAAAGAGUAAGAGCAGUACCUGAGAUUUAAAUAUUCCUAUACCGUCCCAUACCAAGAACAAAGAGUGUUCCACCGAUCUCAUUGUCCACACCUCCAUUUUUCCUUACUGUUUCCAAACUGAGGAUCCGAUCAUUUGUAUCCAAACAAAAUUUUCCUUCUCUAAUCAAUAAAUUGCCUAGCCUCUUGAAAUGGAUGAAUCCUUGAACCAUUUCGUUCUGCCACAGCGAAAAAUAGAGCUAUGAUAUCUCUCUUUUCACAGGAGCAAUGUACUCCUUUUUGGUUUGUUAG